CGAUGCUGAACACGCGCAACCGAACGGGAGGAAAACUGGUGCUCUGGCGUCGUUGCGUUUUUUGUUAAGCUUUCGCCUCCGCUCUUUCUUUCGUAAAAAAAAGACAAUAUUUGUUACCCCCGUUAUGCGUGUGCUCUCGCUUUCGGUGUAUCGAUCUCUCUCUUUCGGCUCCCGCUCUCUCUCUCUCUGGUAGUGUCGAAGAAGCAGAGGAUGGAGGGAAUAGAGAAAGUAGUUAGGGUGGUGGUGGAGGAAAAGAGGAGGUGGAGGUAAUAAUAAGGGGGGGAGGGAGGGGGUGGGGCGUGGAGAGGGAGAGAUGUAUAUGGGGAGCGGGGGGCAAGGUGUGAUGGGUGGAGUGGGUGAGGGGGGGAAGAAGGAAGAGAGGAGAACAGGGUUAGUUAGUUCUUGCAUGACCUUCUUCUUCUUGGUUCUUUCUUGGCAGAGAGGGGCCGGGAGAAUUGCUCUUGCGUCUCGGAGAAAACUUAGAAACGUCGUUGCCUGUCCGGAAGAAGGCAGUACACGAGGCCGGGCGCGUUCGGCAGCUGGGGCGGCGGCCACCGCCGCCGCGGGUUCCUAAGCCGCCGGUACCGGAGCGAGGAGGACCUCGACCGCCGCCGCCUGCUGCACCACCUCAAGUCCGCCCAGCACCUCCUCCUCUUCCGCACGGAACUACGGCGCCCUAGCACCAUACCCGGGAGCCGCCGGCCGGAACCGGCCGACCGGCGCCUCUCGGCCUGCGGCCGGUACCAGCGGCGCGAGAUGCCCUCGUGCCGGCACGACCGCGUGCGCGACAGGCAGCGCGGCCCGCUCCGGACGGCGCGCAGGCCGUGCCUGCCGCGGUGGCGCGAGGUGGACCGACGCCGGCCACCGCGCCGGUUGCGGCAGCGCCGGUGCGUGGACGACGAGCGGCGCCCCCGGAGGUGCCUCUGCGAGAGCCACAGGCCCGAGGCGCGGCCCCUGAACGAGGGCGCACGGCGUCCGCACCGGCUCUUCGGAGAGGCGGACGACGAGUUCAGGGGGCGGCACAGCGGGAGGAGCAGCGGGUUCUUCAGGCGGAGCGGCGGCCGCUACCAGCGGCGCGUCCUCGGCUCCUUCCUCAUGGGCGGCCUGGAGUGCGACGGCCUGGAGUUCUCGCCCGAGAAGUCGUGGCUGCUCAAGGCGUACAUGUCGAAGUUCCACUUCGGGACGAGGGCGCGGAUGAGGGUGCUGACCUGGCUCACGGGGAAGCACGUGGGGCCGCUCUUGCGGGCGGCGGCGCUGGGCGCGGCGAUGAGGAUGUCGACGCACGGGACGGGCCUCAAGGCGUUCCCGCCCAGCACGGCGUUCCCGCUGCCGACGCUCAUGCGCGUGCCGCAGAAGCUCACGACCGAGGUGGGCCGCGUCAUGGCCUGCGCGGAGACGUUCCUGCUCCAGCCGACGCGCGCGGCGUAGACGAAGAAGCGUGUGUCCGCGCUGCUCGAGGCGAGGCAGUUGGGUAGGCGGCAGAGGCACCCGUACUACGUCGGGCACAGGGGCGCGAGGAGCGGGGGGUUGCCCUACCUGUACCCCUACGAGUUGGGGCGCCCCACCGGCAGCAGAGGCCAGUCGGCCGAGUUCUGCCGCGCCCUCGAGCUGAAGCUGGACCUCUACGAGCGCGACCUGGUCAUGGUCGUCUUCGACAAGCUGUUCCACAGGUUGUUGCGCGUGAGCGGCUCCCGUUCGACCCCGCGCGGGUUGCCGCCGGAGCCGAGCGGCGUGCGGCGGCCCAGCGGGCGGUCUUUGUACGGCCUGAUGUGGCUGGACGAGCCGAGGUACCUGGGCCGGUACGAGAGGGUCGAGGUGCGCGACAGCGACUUCGUCCGCCCGCUGUACAGCGGCAUGUCGAGGUACGGCCUGUGCGUCGACGUGUACGGCUGGAGCGGCUACCACCCGCGCUUGUUGAGCAAGCCGUAGCUGGUGAGGUACCGGUUCCGGUAGUACUGGAGGGCGCGGAGGCGCAAGCGGUUCGCAUCGGUCUCGAAGUAGCUGGCGCCGCGCGCGCGGGGCCGGCGCGCGAGGGACUACAGCGGCCGGUGGUGCUAGCCGCUCGGAAGGUACGAGUGCCUGACCCCGAGAGGGUCGCCGCCGCCGUUAGACCUGACCCCGAGCGGGCCACCGUUCGACCUGACCCCGCACGUCCCGCUGCUCGACGUGUUCAAGGCGUUCAGCCGCAGGAAGCCCAAGGCGCCCGUUAGGCGGUACGGCCGCCGGAGGGGUCGGUGGGGCCGGCUUGGGCUGCAGAGUACCCACUUGAGAGAACAGUUCCUACCGGUGUGUCCGCUGGUAAAAGGCGUCACCGACCUCGUCCUCGUCUACCACCGGAUUAGGGUUGGGGCAGCUGCUAGCUAGUGAACCGAGUAUCGCAGAUCGACUGGUUUCAAGAAAGGAAGUUAAAAAAAGUGGGAAAAAUAAACGAAUUAAACUAAGUAUACUCUACCAAGAAAUCAUGUAUAUACGACAAGUGUUUUUAUUAUAACGAGUAGUCGUUAGUCGGACCUACGGGUUUCCCUCGGAAUCCAACUACUUCUUGUCGGUUAUAAAUGAGAAGGG
rnacentral:rRNA from 1 species